rnacentral:rRNA from 1 species
CCCUUAGAUGUUCUGGGCCGCACGCGCGCUACACUGAUGCAUUCAACGAGCCUAUCCUUGACCGACAGGUCCGGGUAAUCUUUGAAUCUGCAUGGUGACGGGGAUAGAUUAUUGCAAUUAUUAAUCUUCAACGAGGAAUGCCUAGUAGGCGCAAGUCAUCAGCUUGCGUCGAUUACGUCCCUGCCCUUUGUACACACCGCCCGUCGCUCCUACCGAUUGGGUGUGCUGGUGAAAUGUUCGGAUCGGCCGUUUGUCGCGGUUUCCGCGUCAUGUGGCUGAGAAGUUCAUUAAACCCUCCCACCUAGAGGAAGGAGAAGUCGUAACA